rnacentral:rRNA from 1 species
CAGUAGCCACGGGAAUACGGAGGGUGCAAGCGUUACUCGGAAUCACUGGGCGUAAAGGACGCGUAGGCGGAUAUUUAAGUCAGGGGUGAAAUCCCAGAGCUCAACUCUGGAACUGCCUUUGAUACUGGGUAUCUUGAGUAUGGAAGAGGUGGGUGGAAUUCCGAGUGUAGAGGUGAAAUUCGUAGAUAUUCGGAGGAACACCAGUGGCGAAGGCGGCUCACUGGUCCAUUACUGACGCUGAGGUGCGAAAGCGUGGGGAGCAAACAGGAUUAGAUACCCCGGUAGUCCCUGUCUCUUAUAA